AUGGCCGGUUCCAAGGGAAAAUCCUUCCCAUUCAAGCAUUGUUGGGCAUUGCUCCAACAUCUUGACAAAUGGAAACCGAGGGAUCAAGAGAGUGCACCAAAGAAAUCGGAUAUGCUCAAAAUGGAUGAUAGUGAUGAAGAAGGAAGAAACCAUGACAAGCCCGACGGAACCAAGAAGGGAAAAGAAAGGAUGAAGAUGGAAGCGGAACCAUCAAGCUUGAGGGAAAAGAUUGAUCAAAUGAUCAAGUCAAAGGAGACAUUGACAAUGAAGGCAUUGGAGACAAAGCUUAUUAUCAUCGAGAGAAAGAAAGAGAUGAAACUUGCACAAUUGGAAGCAAGGCGAGAAGAUGCCAAGUGA
rnacentral:rRNA from 1 species